rnacentral:lncRNA from 1 species
GACUUAUCACUGGGCCCAGCACACAGGUCUUUUCCCACAGGGAGCACUGUGAAACAUCACUGGGCUCAGCCACCAGGUUAUGUGACUCUUCUGCCUGUGCCCUGCUUCCAGAAAAUAUUGUGACAUCCCUCAUACAGCAUCCAGGUGAUGUGACUCUUCUGCUCAUUUUCUACUUACAGGAGACAUGCCCAAAAAAGGGAUUGUGGCAUAUCUCUGAGCCCAGCACCCAAAUGUUGUGACUCUCCUGCCUGAGCUGUGCCUAGAGAAAAUAUUAUAAUAUGUCACUGGACCCUGCAUGCAAGUGAUCCAAUUCUCCAGUCUGGGCCUUGCCCAUAGAGGAGAUUGAGACAUAUUCCAGGUGAAGAAUUCAGGUGGAUGGUGACUCUAAGACCAGGAUUCAACACACUUAGAAGGCUUUGACUCUGAUACCAGUCACAGAAGGCUCUGUGAGUCUUCUAUUUUCUCUAGGUCAUGCAAAUGGAGGCGGAUUUUGACAUAUCAUAAAGCCAACAUAAUACACAGUCUACAGGUGGAAUUGGGACUCUCAUGCAUGGAUCCAGUUCAUCAUUGAUACUGUGACUCAUGUACUUGGAUGCAACUCACAGGAGGUGUUGACGCUUUUACCUGAAGCUGGGACAUGUGUGGAAUUGUGAAUCUUAGCCCUAGAUCUUCCCACAGGGAUCGUUGACAUUUUGGGAUGUGGCCAUACAAUUCUCUCUGGAGGAGUGGCAAUGCCUGGACACUGCACAGCAGAAUUUAUAUAGGAAUGUGAUGUUAGAGAACUACAGAAACCUGGUCUUCCUGGGUAUUGCUGCCCCUAAGCCAGACCUGAUCAUUUUUCUGGAGCAAGGAAAAGAGCC